GACGAACGCUGGCGGCGUGCUUAACACAUGCAAGUCGAACGGAAAGGCCCUGCUUUUGUGGGGUGCUCGAGUGGCGAACGGGUGAGUAACCCGUGAGUAACCUGCCCUUGACUUUGGGAUAACUUCAGGAAACUGGGGCUAAUACCGGAUAGGAGCUCCUGCUGCAUGGUGGGGGUUGGAAAGUUUCGGCGGUUGGGGAUGGACUCGCGGCUUAUCAGCUUGUUGGUGGGGUAGUGGCUUACCAAGGCUUUGACGGGUAGCCGGCCUGAGAGGGUGACCGGCCACAUUGGGACUGAGAUACGGACCAGACUCCUACGGGAGGCAGCAGUGGGGAAUAUUGCACAAUGGGCGGAAGCCUGAUGCAGCAACGCCGCGUGCGGGAUGACGGCCUUCGGGUUGUAAACCGCUUUCGCCUGUGACGAAGCGUGAGUGACGGUAAUGGGUAAAGAAGCACCGGCUAACUACGUG
rnacentral:rRNA from 1 species